rnacentral:rRNA from 1 species
UACAUGGGGUGCAAACGUUGCUCGGAAUCAUUGGGCGAAAGCGCGCGUAGGCGGUUACUUAAGUUGGAUGUGAAAGCCCUCGGCUUAACUGAGGAAGUGCAUCCAAAACUGAGUAGCUAGAGUACGAAAGAGGGUCGCGGAAUUCCCGGUGUAGAGGUGAAAUUCGUAGAUAUCGGGGAGGAACACCGGGUGGCGAAGGCGGCGACCUGGGUCGAGACUGACGCUGAGGCGCGAAAAGCGUGGGGGAGCAAACAGG